rnacentral:rRNA from 1 species
UACGUAGGCAGCGAGCGUUGUUCGGAGUUACUGGGCGUAAAGGGUGUGUAGGCGGUUGUUUAAGUUUGGUGUGAAAUCUCCCGGCUCAACUGGGAGGGUGCGCCGAAGACUGGAAGGCUUGAGUAUGGGAGAGGUAAGUGGAAUACCUGGUGUAGUGGUGAAAUACGUAGAUAUCAGGUGGAACAUCAGUGGCGAAGGCGGCUUACUGGUCCAGUACUGACACUGAGAUGCGAAAGCAUGGGGAUCAAACAGG